UACGUAGGGCGCAAGCGUUAUCCGGAAUUAUUGGGCGUAAAGAGCUCGUAGGCGGUUUGUCGCGUCUGCCGUGAAAGUCCGGGGCUCAACUCCCGGAUCUGCGGUGGGUACGGGCAGACUAGAGUGGAUGAGGGGAGACUGGAAUUCCUGGGUGUAGCGGUGAAAUGCGCAGGAUAUCAGGAGGAACACCGAUGGCGAAGGCAGGUCUCUGGGCAUUAACUGACGCUGAGGAGCGAAAGCAUGGGGAGCGAACAGG
rnacentral:rRNA from 1 species